rnacentral:rRNA from 1 species
GACGAACGCUGGCGGCGUGCUUAACACAUGCAAGUCGAACGGAAACGCCCUGCUUUUGUGCGGUGGUCGAGGUGCGAACGGGUGAGCAACACGUGGGUAACCUGCCCCUGACUGAGGGAUAACUUAAGGCAACUGGGGCUAUUACCGCAUAGGAGCUCCUGCUGCAUGGUGGGGGUUGGAAAGUUUCGGUGGUUGGUGAUGGAAUAGCGGCUUAUGAGCUUGAUGGUGGGGUAGUGGAUUACCAUGGCCAUGACCGGUAGCAGUCCUGAGAGGGUGACCGGCCACAUCGGGACUGAGAUGCGGCACGGACUAGUACGGGAGGCAGGAGUGGGGAAUAUUGCACAAUGGGCGGAGGCAUGAUGCAGCACCGCCGCGUGGGGGAUGACGGGCAUCGGGUUGUAAUCCGCUUUCGCCUGUGCCGAAGCGUGAGUGACAGUACUGGGUAAAGAAGCACCGGCUAACUACGUG